GGGGUGCCCGAGUGGCGAACGGGCGAGUAACACGUGAGUAACCUGCCCUUGACUUUGGGAUAACUUCAGGAAACUGGGGCUAAUACCGGAUAGGAGCUCCUGCUGCAUGGUGGGGUUGGAAAGUUUCGGCGGUUGGGGAUUGACUCGCGGCUUAUCAGCUUGUUGGUGGGGUAGUGGCUUACCAAGGCUUUGACGGGUAGCCGGCCUGAGAGGGUGACCGGCCACAUUGGGACUGAGAUACGGCCCAG
rnacentral:rRNA from 1 species